rnacentral:lncRNA from 1 species
GGAAAAAGUCUGAACAUACACCAAAUGUUAACAGUGGUUACCAUCAGAUGGGUAAUAAUAGGUGAUUUUUUCUUUUCACUUAUCUUUAGUUUCUUAAAAAAUGUAUAUCUUAUUCAUAUCUCAAAAAAAGCAUUUGAAGGAAAAAAAUGUUAUUCUUGGGAGAGUCCACUUAUCUACCCUGUACUCAUCAUUAUAUUCUUACAUUUAAUGUAAGAAAUGUUUUCUUUCCUGUCAUAUCUAAUAAGACACUGCUAUAACAACUGAUUGAAAGGACUUUCUUUUCAAAGUAGUACAAGAGGGAAAAGACAGGAACACAAUACAUUCUCCACGGCUGCAUAGCAUCCAUCCUGCCAAUCGCCUGCCAACAUGUAAAGAAUUUGGACUGUGGUUUGUCUGUGCUCACGCCAGGGGUGCCAGAGAGCUCCCUACAGCCAGUUCUGCACUGUGAAAGAUAGCCGGGCACUGUACAACUCCACUCAGCAAAGACCCAUACACUUUUCAUGCAUGGAUUCCAGAACACAGAACACCAACCCCAAAAUAAUUCAAAGAAAGACUCCUCUCAGGUAUACAUUUUUACACUGAAAACUUCCUUAUUGCUUCUGUUGCUGCCCUUUGCGCCUUCCUCCCCCAGCACACACACCCACAUGAGCACACGCACACAUACGCACAGAGACCUAAGUUCACCAGAACAUUUCAGCCAGCUGAGAAUUUGUAGCACAGUCACCUUGCCAGGCCGUGUUUAAAGAAGAACUCUAUUCUUGAGAUAGGUGCAUGGAAAAGACAUAAAAAAACAUAAAUUUCUACACAGGAUUCCCUCUUCAUGCCAUCAUCCACCAUCCCCAGAAUAUAUAGUGGGUUGGUUUUUUUUGGUACCGGGGAUCGAACUUGGGACCUUGCGCUUGCGAGGCUGGCGCCAGAACCACUGAGCUAAAUCCCAGGCCCCUAUAUAGUGGUUUUUGAGGGAAGCCAAGUACUCAGAAAUUAGGGUCCAUUUAAACCAUGCAUGUCAUUAAAAACUAUAUAUGGACAUUAAUUUUUCAAGCUUCUAGUUUAUAUUUCAAGUGUUUCCAAAUCCAGUGAUGUUUCAAGUGAGUAAGUGAAGUAUAACUUCUAGAAGGGUGAAUGGUGCACCAACCCACUUUCAGUUAUUAGCAAAGGGCAGUGUUUUUUUUUUGGUACCAGGGAUCGAACUCGGGUCCUUUCCACUUGCACAGCAGGCAGCAAAACCACUGAGCUAAAUCCCCGGCCCUGGCAGUCUCUUUUGAGUGCUUACAGUAAGUCACACCAUGGCUGCCCUGUUUUCAAGGACAAGAUGGCCCUGUGGGUGGCUCUCAUCCACAGUCUCCCUGGUUUCUACAGACUUGUCUGUAGAAGAUGAAUCCCUUUAAAACAGGCAGAUAGGGAUGCAUCAGGGCAGAAUACUGUUUCACCCAACACCCUUUAUCUGACGUAUCGUGACAAACACAAUGUGCCAGCCAGGCACUUCCCAACUCCUUUUGUGAUGGCUGCGCUUGAGGAACCUGCAGGCUGGAGACCAGCUGCCCUUGUGGACAGUCUUUCUGGGCACAUACGACCUGCUCUAAGACCCUGCAAGCCUGCUCCCUGUCUAGCACUGCCUCCUUCCCCUGCAGAGGUUGCUUAUAUAGUCCCAGGGCUGAUCACCUGUUCUAAUCUGAUUACUCUGUUUCCAUUAAAGCUAUCAACAAAGAACUCAAAGUGAGCCUGUGUGCCACCGAACUGGCCUCUCAAGCCUGGACAUCAGUCACCAACACUUUCUUGGACAGGUCCCUAAAAAUCAAGAAUCAGUCCAGAUGGAACUUAUUGUUUGUAAUGAACAUAAACAUAAUUCUGAUUUGCUCCUUUGUAAGCUGUCCUUUGUUGUGGAUACACAUUAAAAUAAUAUAAUUGCAAUGUGCUCUUAUUAGAUUCAAGAGGAUGUUUUUUUCUCCUGGUACCCAGGGACUGCUGAAGAGAGAACAGGGAUAUGCUCAUAGAAAAAUACCAGGCCGAGGUCCAGGAGACAGGAUGCAGAGCCCACACUGUUGGUCACGCCAGGUCUCAAGUGAUGAUGUGUGGGGCUGAUGAAGCAUGCCAGUCAGACGGCCCACGUGGACUCUGGGUUCUUUCACCCAAGGUCUGACCACUCUCUCCCAACCUGUCACCCUAAGCAGUUUUACAUCCCCAGGGCAUCUGGAAGACAUCCUCUCUCCUUCCCACCUGAGAAUGAGAAAUGCAUCCAGCUGAGUCUCAUCUUGGAAUAAAGUUAUCUUUAAAGAUCACCAUGGUUAAGGGGUCUGAGUUUUACUUGGCCUCUUUUAGGCCCCAGGUUUCAUAGAUGGAGAACAAAAGCUAAUCCAGGUACAUACAGCCAAUCUUGGUGAUGGGUGUAAAAUCAAGGAGGCCUCAUCUGGAAGCUGACAAUAUACUCCUGGCUCAACAUCUUCCAGGCAGCCCAAUGUGGCUGCUAUGGCUAUGAGGGAAAGGGGGACACCCGGCCUGCACAUGGCAUAAGGCCACACGUAAGUCCUGAGACUGCAGUGGUCAUCAGGACCCACAAGGCCAUGUUACAAGAAACCUGGGACAGAUGCAAUGAGCCACUGUCAUCGCAGAGUUUCCCCUCCAUGGUGCCAGAGGCUGUUGGCCAGACUAGUCCCGUGGCUGACUAUUCUGGUUGUUCCUGGGCCAUUCUCAGUUUAAAAGAAGCUAAAUGAAGAAACAUUAUAGUCUUUAAAUGAAAGCAGAAGGCCUGGAAAGUUCAAUGCUUCUGUCAAGUUUUGUGCUUUCACUGAGGGAUCCAAUCCUCCCUUUAAAGGCCCCCUGCCUCAGCUCCUGGGCUGUAAGAGUCUGAGGCUAGACAGCCCCAGCAGUAUGAGGAAUCUAAGGCCCUCACCACUGGCUACAAGCUGCUUGGCACACUCUUCAGUGGUGAACAGGAUCCUGGGUCUCAGGCCCCAGAAGUACACCAUGGUAAUGACUUGCAGCACUCUACACUUCUACGUCCAGCAUUUUCUAAAGUCACUGCUAUGAGAAUGUACAAAUGGCUUUAGCAAUUAUCCUCCUAUGAGUAUGUCACCUGAGCACACUCUAGUCAGCCAAGAGGGUUUCUUU